GCGGCGCUGCCGUGUUGACAGCGGCGGCCGCGCCGGGAGCUGCCCCGGGAAGCGGGUUGGCGGCGCCGGUUCUCCGCUCCCAGCUCCGCUAUGGCCUUCAUGGAGAAGCCGCCGGCCGGCAAGGUGCUGCUGGACGACACGGUGCCGCUGACAGCGCAGAUCGAGGCGAGCCAGAGCCUGCACUCGCACACGGAAUACAUAAUCCGUGUCCAGAGAGGAGUCUCAACAGAAAACAGCUGGCAGAUUGUGAGGCGAUAUAGUGACUUUGACUUGUUGAAUAAUAGCCUGCAGAUCUCAACUCUAAGUCUACCUCUUCCUCCAAAAAAGUUGAUUGGAAAUAUGGAGCGUGAGUUCAUAGCUGAAAGACAGAAGGGCCUCCAGGCCUACCUGGAUGUAAUUACCACCCAUCACAUACUGUCCAACUGUGAACUGGUAAAGAAAUUCUUGGACCCAAACAGCUAUUCUGUAAAUUACACUGAAAUUGCCUUACAGCAUGUUUCAAUGUUCUUCCGAUCAGAGCCAAAGUGGGAAGUAGUUGAACCAUUAAAAGAUAUAGGUUGGCGAAUACGUAAGAAAUAUUUCCUAAUGAAAAUUAAGAAUCAACCAAAGGAACGGCUAGUGUUAAGCUGGGCUGAUCUUGGCCCUGAUAAAUACUUGUCUGACAGAGACUUACAGUAUGCUGUGAAACUUCUUUCUUCCUGUUCGCAUCCCUAUAUUUACAAAAUCACUUUUGCCACUGCCAACGAAUCUUCGGCGCUGGUUAUUAGACCAUUCAGUGAAAAAGGGACACUAAAGGACCUUAUUUAUAAGGCAAAGCCAAAAGACCCAUUCCUGAAGAAGUAUUGCAAUCCUAAAAAAAUUCAAGGUCUUGAACUUCAGCAAAUAAAAACAUAUGGAAGGCAAAUAUUAGAGGUAUUAAAAUUCCUCCAUGAGAAAGGAUUUCCUUAUGGCCAUCUUCACUCUGCCAAUGUGAUGCUGGAUGGGGAUACCUGCAAGUUACUGGAUCUAGAAAAUUCCUUGUUGGGACUCCCAUCGUUUUAUCGAUCCUACUUUUCCCAGUUUCGGAAAAUUAAUACUUUAGAGGGUGUUGAUGUUCAUUGCUUUGGACACUUACUGUAUGAAAUGACCUAUGGAAGACCUCCAGACACCAUUCCAGUGGAGAGCUUCCCCCCUGCUCCAUCAGUGUUUGUUGUGUCAGUGUUGGAGUCCAUUCUGACUUGUGAAGCUCUGAAGAAUGGGAUGCCAACUGUCUCACGGCUCUUACAGAUGCCAUUAUUCAGUGAUGUCCUGCUAACAAACUCUGAGAAACCACAGUUCAAGAUUCCUACUAAGCUAAAAGAGGCAUUGAAAAUCUCCAAGGAAUGCAUAGAAAAGCGAUUAACAGAGGAACAGAAAUUGAUUCACCAGCACAGAAGGCUGACAAGAGCUCAAUCUCAUCAUGGCUCUGAAGAAGAAAAAAAGAAAAGGAAGAUCUUGGCACGAAAAAAGUCAAAACGUUCUGCCAAUGAAAGUGGGGAAGAACACUCAGCCAAAUACAGCAACUCAAAUAACUCAGCAGGCUCUGGGGCCAGUUCUCCUUUAACAUCUCCAUCAUCCCCCACUCCGCCCUCCACAGCAGGUAUGUUCAACAAUCAUUACAGUUUUUAUCUUUUUUAUGUUGUUUUUUACUCCCCUCUGCCCUCAGUGGUGGUGUUAUUCCCAAGGAUGAUCAGAUGAUGGUUUUCAAGGAUGGAACACGGAGAUGUCAGUUACCUUGUGGCAGCCUGAGUGUGGGCUUGUGCUCUCUUUUGAGGGUGGCAGAGAACCUUUUUGUAACUAUAACCUUUCUGAGAUACACAUGAUAUGAUUUACCCAGGGUGGACCUGCUUGCUUUGAAGUCUGUGUUACUCCAGGCCUACCCACAUUGCAAAUUUCCAGGCAUUUUCUGGGCCUCAUGGUGCAGCAUGCAGUUGUUCUGGUGUUAAUGGUCUGCUGACUCUGAAAUACUGCUUUGUUCAUCCCAUGUUUCUUUGUUCUUUUUGUUCCUGUACUGCUGUGAUUUAUUUUCAGGAAUUUUAGGUGUGACAAAUUCAGUGACUUAAGCUUCAUAAAUCUCCUCAGUUCUGCUACACUCCAUUGAUAACCCAGUAGAGUUUGUAGAAACAAAUCUAGAAACAAGACUGAUUUGGGUUAAAAAUAGUAUCUUUAUUAUUUUUGGACAGUUCUGUUUUUCAGUUUGCACUUUCUGUGCAGAGAGUUUUGCUAAUGUUUAAGACAGGGGUGGGAAGUGGGAAUCUGCUUGAGUGGGCAAUAGAAAUGCUCUGAAAGUUUAAUUACAAAUCUGAAUAUUGAGCAGUAGUGGAUAUGCUUCAGUCUGAAUGACUGGAAGAGGAGCACUGGCCAAUAUAAAUUACAAAAGAUGUUAACAGAAUGCAUUUCCAGAGAGGAAGUCACCAUUUUUUAUGGUGACUCCUGCCAUAGGAUUUCUAGUCCCAGGAACUUUCUCCACAGCACAACUCAUUAACCAAAGCAAUGCAAUCAAAUUUGUCUUUGCUGUGGAUAGUCUUUCAAAGGACACUGCAGUCUGUGUGAUGUAAUUCAAAUCAGUCAUGCUGAAACUCAAAUUAGUAAUUUCUCCUUCAAGUUGAGGGCAUGGGAAGUGUGUAUUGUAGGAACUAACUUCCCAGUUAGCUUAAGCAAGAUAAUGACUGUUACUGUGUUGCACAGUGACACUGCUAUUGCACUGACUGUGGUCUGGAGAAUUUGUUGCCAGUUCUGCCAGGGCUUCCAUAAGGAAGUAGCUGAAAUGUGGCUCCAAAAUGGACAGAUGUUUAGAAAGCAUUUUUCCCCUAUAAAACUACUGUUUAGUUAUGUUCUGACUCAGACUUGCUGGAACUUGGUUGAAAGCUUUCUCAAGUUUUAAGCAUGGGAUGCAGGUUUAUGUGCAGAUAUGGGUCAAAAUAGCGCAGGUUUGUGCUCAAAACUUGUCUCGGUUCAGAGCAUAUUGUCACAGUGUGUUUGUUGGUCAUCUUGUGCCAGUGUGCUCCUGGUGACUUGUGGGGGUCACCCCUGUGUGACAAGGUGCUGGUGGCCCUGCUUGUCCUCACACGGGGGCUUGCUUUAGUGAGCUGAUGGCUGGGCGCUGUUUAUGAGGUGUAAAGCCAAGUGUCACAUUUUCAGGAAUGCUUUUGUGAGUAGAAUUCAUAGAAGAAAUUUCAGAUAUUAAUUCUGAGAGAAAACUAGAUUUUUUUUCACCAGCAGUGUUGUAGUUUUAGCUGUUCUAGGCAAGUCUGCUUUUACUGCCAUGAGGAGAGACACACUGGUCCCAUGGUAGGAUUUUGUUUGUGACAAGUGAUGCAUCUGCAGCUUGCAUUUCUCUCUUCUGAUUUCCUUGUAUUACUAAGGAUAUUUACCUCUGUACCAAAACUGCUUGUGGGUGUCAGUGUGAUGAGAUGAUUCUCAAAAAGGCAUUGAGGCUUUCAGUCUGUCUGUCUCUCUGUCUGGUUUGGAAUGGCUGUGUUGGAACUGGGGCCUCUCAAAGCAUCCUGCUGAUACAAUACCAUGACAAAACUAAGGCUGGUGAGGAAAAGUGCCCUCAAGAGAAGCUUUGCUCCCAUCCUGGCCUGUAACUGUUCAUGCAUGGUGUGGUGUGUGAAGAGAGAGACACUGACCACAGGGGAAGGGCUCCAGGCUGGCCUGCCCUGGGGAAGGAACCCUGGGGAAGGAACCUCCUGCAGGGGUUUCUCAUGUGUUGAGAGGUUCUUUGUCUCUGCACAAAGGCAUUGAGAGGCUUGGCUUGCAGCAGAGAGCUUGGGAGAGUGGGUGGAAGCCAGGAAUGAAACCAUGGUUGGCUUCUGCUGUGUGAUGGCAGCUGCAGGGCUGAGAGCGUGAGGGGAAAGGUGCCUCUGGAGAUGUUGGCUCUCAUGGGCUGUUCUCACUGGUGAGAAUGUUCUGGGCUGGUGGUGCUGCAGGUUCUUGGCUGAAGAACAUUUGCAAUACAUUGUUAGAUCAUGCAAGUGACUCUAAUGUAACAUCCUGUGUUUCUGACAUUCUCCUGCUGUGGUUCUUUUUUUCCCCCCCCAAUUCUUUGCUCCUGCUGUGAAAAUCUGUUCAUUUUCUUUGUGGCUGUGAGCAGUGGCUAGGAUCAGAAGGGCUGCAGAACAGUGUGGUAUGGGUUAUUUAAAAUUUCAUUGAAUAUUUUCUAAAUCAAAUAAGCCCAUAAGAUACAGCAAGAUCUCUUUCAACAGAGACAAAUUUAGAGGGUGUCACUUUUGCUUCUCUGGACUUACCUGCAGGAACAGUGAAAGAAUUGUACUUAACAAUCUUUUUCUGUGCCAGUUGUUCUGAAUCCUUCAGUAUGACGUGUUUCAUUGGCACCCUUAUGGUGCAUCUUUCCUGCCCCUCACCUUCCUGUAAAACAGGUGGAAUGCUUUAGGAAGUGCUUUUCCUGGGUGUCUCUGACCACAAGUGUGAAUACAGGUGUUGAUACAGCAGGAAGUGUUUCUUGAACUGAAUGGAUUUCGUCUUCUGUGGCCAAUCUUCCUGCAGAUUUCUUUCUAAAUCUCUCUAAAUGCACUUUAAUCCUGUGGAGCUUGAAUUAUGGCAUGUGCAACUGAAAGCAUGGAUGUUGUAUUUGUUAUCAGGUAUAAUAAUGCUUAGAGCAUGGAAAAUUGUUGUUCAUUUUUCAGAAUUGAGUGAAGUAUUGUAAAUGUAAUAUGAAAUAGUCAAUCUGCUGUCCUCAUAUUUGUCAGUGAGUAAGAAUGUAUUGACUUCUGUACUAACUUUUCAGCUAACAGUGUCUGUUUUUCCUACUUUGACAUGAGAACUGGAUGAUUAACUUGUGUCCUCUCUCUUUCUCUGCUGUCUUCAAUAGAGCAUGCAUCAUUUUGAACGUGAAUUUUCGGAAAAGCAUCAAGUUUACAGCAUCUGAUUUACUUCCUAUUCCUUUUAACACACUCUUUUAACAAAAAUGUCCCUGUAAAA